GGGUUGUGAGGUUAAGCGACUAAGCGUACACGGUGGAUGCCUAGGCAAUCAGAGGCGAUGAAGGACGUGCUAAUCUGCGAUAAGCGUCGGUAAGGUGAUAUGAACCGUGAUAACCGACGAUUUCCGAAUGGGGAAACCCAGUGCAAUUCGUUGCACUAUCGUUUGAUGAAUACAUAGUCAAACGAAGCGAACCGGGGGAACUGAAACAUCUCAGUACCCCGAGGAAAAGAAAUCAACCGAGAUUCCCCUAGUAGCGGCGAGCGAACGGGGAGCAGCCCAGAGUCUUAAUCAGCAUUAGCAUCAGGAGAACGGUCUGGAAAGGCCGGCAGUAAAGGGUGAUAGCCCCGUAUCCGAAGGUGUUAGUGUUGUGAACUCGACGAGUAGGGCGGGACACGUGUUAUCCUGUCUGAAUAUGGGGGGACCAUCCUCCAAGGCUAAAUACUCCUGAUUGACCGAUAGUGAACCAGUACCGUGAGGGA
rnacentral:rRNA from 1 species